UGAUCGAGUUCGCCGAGUGGCCGAGCGAGACAGAAGAGCUCCUUGGCACUGGAUGCCUCCGGGUCUGGUUGAGAGAGGAAUGGUUAGGAGACUGUUCUGAGGAUACGCAGACAUCAUCCAAAGCUUCCUACAUUCAGAUGAGGACAGAGGUUGGGCCAGAGCUUUGUAAGCUUGUUACCUAAGGAUGGUUCUGACCAUGUAAGCAGAUCACAGAAGCUAUUCACAGAUCAUCAUCAGCCAGAGGUGACUUCUGUUGCUUGCAGCUCAGAAUCCUAGAUGUUUCCGGUGGCACUGAAGAGCCUCUGCUGAAGCUCUAUACCAUUUGCCAUUUACAAAGGGAAAUGAAAUAAUAACGCUGACCAUUUGUGGAGCACAUUCUGUCUGGAGGCAAAGGAUGCCAAGAUGGGAAAGCCACAUAAUGGAAGGAUCCUGGAUUUCAGAGCUGUCACUUGGAGGAGGGGCACCCAGUGAAGGUGUCUUAUCUAACCCACACCAUAUCUUCAUGAAGUGGCCAUAUGGAUUUGAUCCCUAUCCUUCAGAGGUGCUCAGCCUAAGGGAACACGGAUAGUAGAUUAAGCACUGACCAGGCUCAAGUUUGUACAUUCCAACUUGUUGUUUGGGCCUUGUUGGACAUAACUGAAGUCUGGAUGGCAGGGUGAAAAUUGGAUAAACAGCCACACUGACUCAGGGGAGAUUUUUUUUUAAUGCAAACAUCUGUUUCUUGAAUUUGGCCAUGGGGUAUAAAUCCUGCCUUCUCUCAGCCUUACAGAGGAAGAAAACCCUUUCCAAGUUUCCUCUGAUACUGGGUUUAUGCCCAAUUAUAGUUUAGGCAUGAAGAAACUGAAGCAUGGAGGAAAAACUUAGCAACUAGCCCAACGUCACACAGGCAAGCCAGCCUUGACAAUGUGCUGAUGGCAACCU
rnacentral:lncRNA from 10 species